ACGGCUCAGUAACACGUAGUCAACAUAACCAAAGGACGUGGAUAAACUCGGGAAACUGAGGCUAAACCGCGAUAGACCAAGAGAUCUGGAAUGGUUUUUGAUUAAAAUCUAUAUGGCCUUUGGAUUGGACUGCGACCGAUCAGGCUGUUGGUGAGGUAAUGGCCCACCAAACCUGUAACCGGUACGGGCUCUGAGAGGAGGAGCCCGGAGAUGGGUACUGAGACAAGGACCCAGGCCCUAUGGGGCGCAGCAGGCGCGAAACCUCUGCAAUAGGCGAAAGCCUGACAGGGUUAUUCUGAGUGACUUUCGCUAAGAAAGUCUUUUGACACCUCUAAAAAUGGUGUAGAAUAAGGGGUGGGCAAGUCUGGUGUCAGCCGCCGCGGUAAUACCAGCACCCCGAGUGGUCGGGACGAUUAUUGGGCCUAAAGCAUCCGUAGCCGGUUUUACAAGUCCUCCGUUAAAUCCACCUGCUUAACAGAUGGGCUGCGGAGGAUACUACAAGGCUAGGAGGCGGAAGAGGCAAGCGGUACUCAGUGGGUAGGGGUAAAAUCCUCUGAUCCAUUGAAGACCACCAGUGGCGAAGGCGGCUUGCCAAUACGCGCUCGACGGUGAGGGAUGAAAGCUGGGGGAGCAAACCGGAUUAGAUACCCGGGUAGUCCCAGCUGUAAACGAUGCAGACUCGGUGAUGGGCCGGCUUUAUGCCGGCUCAGUGCCGCAGGGAAGCCGUUAAGUCUGCCGCCUGGGGAGUACGGUCGCAAGACUGAAACUUAAAGGAAUUGGCGGGGGAGCAC
rnacentral:rRNA from 1 species